UAGUGAUAUGCACAUUUCUUUUCUGAUAUGAUUUAUUUCAAACAAAUUGGUUUCCAUCAGGCAAUGAUGUUGUUAUCAGCUUUUAUAGAUCAAACAAUAUAUUAAUGUAAGAACCUUAGUGGCAUUGGCUUGGUGUUUUUAGUAUCUGUUUCAAAAAAUAUCAUUUUUUGUGGUUUAUUUAUUCUACAGAUAUUGAUAAUGCAGCCAUGUUUGAGAAAAAAAGUUGAAUCUGAGCCUUCCUUUCAAAUCCUAAAGUUAGGGUUUUUAAACUCAUUAAUCGUUAGUUUAAGUAUGAGGCUCUACAUUCACAGAUAUAAGGUUGUUUUGAGAAAUGUUACCUUUGUGUUAAUGUGGUUGCCAAUGAUUCGUCUCCGGAGAAUUUUGUUAACAUCUCUCAACACACAUAUACUUCCUCUUUCCUUCAAUAUAUGAUAAUUGUUCUUCUCCCAACACAUUUUGCUCGCUUCCAGCUGAAUUUCCCAAAAUACCCAUGUUUGAGUUAACUCACGCUGGUUUUCUUUCUUUGAUAACAAGGGAAAUUCUUGUUUACUUCAUCUUUUUCUUCUUCUUAUUCUUCUUUUGAUAACAAGGCAGUGAUGAUGUUUUAUGCUAUUGUAUCAGACAUUGGGUGAAAAGUUGAUUCAUUGGCGAGGCGAUGUUGUGUCUGUGUCAAGUUACACUUUGCACAUAUGCUUGACGCAGCCUUUAAGAAAUUCUUCUCUCUUCUGUCUGACAAAAGCCAAGAAAAUUCUUAGGAUUUACAAGGCAUGACAACGCUGUUGGGCGCUCCAUCUUAUAUAUGAAUGGGCAUGAUGACAUUGUCUGGCUGCUAUUACGGUUGCAGCAAGGAAGAGAUCAUUGAAAUAACGAAGACUUUCAACUUAGCGAAACAAAUUACAUUGAAAUUGAAUUGAGUUAUAGAUUCCGAAGAAAGGCUCUAACCCGACAAUACCCAGUCAAGUAACCCAAAACCCAAGAAUGGUUGAUUACACUCCUGAUCUACCAUUUCCAUUUCCCCACUGUUCAUUAUGUGAAGAAGAAGCAGCUGUGGUGGAUGAUUCAACCUCAACAUGCAUGCAUAACUCUCGCUUUCAUACAAAAAAAAGAAAAUUCUUAGGAUUUACAAGGCAUGACAACGCUGCUGGACGCUCCAUCUUAUAUAUGAAUGGGCAUGAUGACAUUGUCUGGCUGCUAUUAGGGUUGCAGCAGGGAAGAGAUCAUUGAAAUAGCAAUGACUUUCUAAUUAGUUCGGAGUUGCUUGAGCAGGCACAGAUGCACGUUCAUGUAAUUGGGGGCACAAUAAUGGUUGAUUACACUCCAGAUCUACCAUUUCCCUAUUGUUGUUUUGCGAGAGGGAAACGUUGAAGAAGGAGAACAAUAAGCUGUGGUGGAUGAUUCAACUCCAACAUUCAUGCAUUACUUUCGCUUUCAUACAAAAAGGUACAUUUUCUUUGAUGUAAAUGCAUAUGGUUUGAAGGUUUUUGAUGUUUAAACUUAAAAUGGUUUCUGGAGAGGCAUGCCACACCUUUUCUAAUUACUUCUGAGGUAUUUUUAACGUGCUUUGUGUGUUUUAUAUAUAACGUGCUUUUUGUGUUUUAUAUAGGCUUAAAUGCACUUUUCACCCCCUAUGUUUCAAAAAGUUGUGAUUUUGGCCCCCUUAUAAAAAAAAUGGAUAUUUUGACCCUCUUUUGAUUAGCUGAUUUAUGUCAAUUUCUCAGUCUCUGAUGGUGUAAACUGGCAUGGGGAUAGAAGGAUGCUUAUAAGUGGAGUCCAAACUGGCAUGGUGUAACUUUUGGCCCCCCUAAAAAAUGAUCCACUUAUCAGUUUGGACUCCACUUAUCAUGCCAGUUUGGACACCAUAUGCCAGUUUGGACUCCACUUAUCAGCAUCCUUCUAUCCCCAUGCUAGUUUACACCAUCAGAGACUGAAAAAUUGGCAUAGUCUCUAUCAAAAUCAGCUAAUCAAAAGAGGGCCAAAAGUUAGGGGGUCAAAAUAUCCUUUUUUUUUAUAAGGGGGCCAAAUUCGCAACUUUUUGAAACAUAGGGGGUGAAAAAUGCAUUUAAGCCUUUUAUAUAAUAUGUUAUCUGCAUCAAGUUCUCUGUUUUAGCACUUGUUAAAUCUCUUAUUGACUUGCACAUUACUUCAUUGAUACAUUAGUACUGUAGUUAGUUGCUUGAUAGAGGCUACAAGGUGGCUAUGAUGUUGUUUUUAGCUUUUAGAUCAGACAACAGGUUGAAGAGCUAGUACUGGCAAGGUGUUCCAGAAUCUGUUUGAAAAUACCUUUGUGGUUAAUUCUACAGGUACUGAUAACGCAGCCAUGGUGAGACUUUUCUCUUCUGCCUUUUGUUUUAGAAAAAGGUGAAUCUGAGCCUUCCUUAGAAACUCUGCAUUUAGGAAUUUCUUCUCCUAAAUCAUGGAGUGGAAGCUAACGACUUGCAAUCUGUGGUCGAUCAGUAUCUUCAAAUCAGAGGAAUUUCUAAGUCCGCACGUGAUAUUGAAACACACUACGGGUUUAAUAAAGAUUUGAAUGAUGAUUCCUCAACAAAUGCAUGGUUAGAAAAAAUGAGGACUUUAUUUAUAAGAAAGGGUUCCGGGUUUUCUUCCCGGAAUGUGAUAACUGGAGAUGGGUAUAAGAAAAUAGGUGGCCAUGAGAAGUGUCACCCCUCCGAGUUGAUGUGCAUGCCAAUGAUCCUUCUCAGUGAAAUUUUCAAACAGCUACCCACACACACACAUACUUCCUCUUCUGUUCCGGAUAUAAACUUCUUCAUCCUCGUAGGUAGCAGGGCAGUGAUGAUAAUUUAAGCAAUGGAUUCAGACAAUGUGUGUAGAGUUGUUUCCUGGCUAGGUAACUCCGUGUCUGUGUGAAGUUACCCUUGCGGUCCUUUGCACAGAUUCUGUUGAUGCAGCCUUUGUGAACCUCUUCUCUUUUGUGUCUGACAAAAGGCGAAUCUGAGCCUCCUCUGUUCAACCAUUAAUUUUUUUUGGGAUCUUUUUCCCUCUCUUUCAUCUGUUUUGUUGAAUUUCGCUUGUUUCCAACAGUCAAAUUAAUGUUGGAUGCAUUGUACUCGACUAUAAUUUCAUUCAGGAAAUUUAUUUAGAUAUGCCUGUCCAUGGUGGAGAGAGAUUGACUCUUAGAAAGAACAGUCGUCUAAGUCCUGAGGAAACUAUAGUACUUCGAGUCUUGGACAUCAAAUGAUGAAUAGAUGUCUUCGAUGUUAAAAUGGUUUGAGGCGAAGCAUGCUACUCAUGUUCUAAUAAGUAAUAACUUCUUAGCUAUGCAGAUAUGCUUGCCAUGGUGGAAAGAGAAAGACUCUUGAGUAGAAAAGGGCACUUAAUUCCUGACGAAGCUUCAACACUGUUGGAUAUCAAUUUACUGCCGGGGGUUUAUACUAAGCAGAGAGAAGAACGGACGCCUCAGAAAGCCUUCCCAAAUCUACUUUGUGAAUUUUCGCCAUUGUUUUCCAAAACUGAAACUGGCUUAUCUGCAUUAAGUCAAUAGGUUUAGAAGAAGCCAUUGUCCGAUCCUCCCUCAGAACAUGAUCCUUUGAGCUAUUCGUAUGUAGUGGCUGUAUGGGUUUAAAAAAUUUCACACAACUCACCCAAGCCCAAUACUCAAAGAAGCCCAAAAUGCUUCAUUUCAAGCCUAACAUUCCCCACUCAAAGCAAAUGCCACAAAUCUAUUUCGCUUUAAUUACAAAGGAAAAUGUUGAAGAGGAAGUGGUAGAUGGUUGAGCUCGACCAUUACUGUAAAUUUUUAAGAUAUACAUAAACAGAAAACUGGAGGAUCCAGUACUCUCCUAUCUUUAACGUUGGGAAGAGAUCUUGAAUUAACAAAAAUGUCGAAGCAUCUGCCUUUCAUCUUAUUAAAACAAAUCGUACUAGACUUGCAGAACCUUGGUAUUUGCAACAAAUCAUUCUGCUCCACACAUGAUAGCAUGUAUAUCAAUCUUAAAGUCUAAGUAGAUAUGAUUCUCUAUGGUGGUGGGAAGAGAGAGAGAACUCUGAGAAGGAAAGGGCACUUGACUCCUGAGGAAACUACAACUACGAGCCUUGGCCAUCAAUUGAAAUAUUCAACUUUUCAUUUUGAUGUGGAAAUUUAAUAAAUCUAAGAAUUGAAGUUUUGGGUAAAAUCCUUCCCAAAUCUAGUUUGAGAUCAAACUUGCUUCAUGAUGGGGUUUAGAUGGCUACUUCAUGGCGGGAAUGUGCAGUAUUGAAGGAAAUUAACUCACUGAUGACCAGAGACUUUGUAUUUCAUUUUUCAUUAUUGAACCGUAGUUUUUAGUUUUUACGUUAUUCAGUUGCUCUUUAAACAUAUUAAGGUGAAUUCUGUAAUAUGAGAAGAGUAAAAUAAGAUUUUCUAUGCCAUAAAGUUUUCCAUAUUCAUACAAUUA